GGGUUGCGGACAGUGUCUGGUGGGUAGUUUGACUGGGGCGGUCUCCUCCUAAAGAGUAACGGAGGAGCACGAAGGUUGGCUAAUCCUGGUCGGACAUCAGGAGGUUAGUGCAAUGGCAUAAGCCAGCUUGACUGCGAGCGUGACGGCGCGAGCAGGUGCGAAAGCAGGUCAUAGUGAUCCGGUGGUUCUGAAUGGAAGGGCCAUCGCUCAACGGAUAAAAGGUACUCCGGGGAUAACAGGCUGAUACCGCCCAAGAGUUCAUAUCGACGGCGGUGUUUGGCACCUCGAUGUCGGCUCAUCACAUCCUGGGGCUGAAGUAGGUCCCAAGGGUAUGGCUGUUCGCCAUUUAAAGUGGUACGCGAGCUGGGUUUAGAACGUCGUGAGACAGUUCGGUCCCUAUCUGCCGUGGGCGCUGGAGAACUGAGGGGGGCUGCUCCUAGUACGAGAGGACCGGAGUGGACGCAUCACUGGUGUUCGGGUUGUCAUGCCAAUGGCACUGCCCGGUAGCUAAAUGCGGAAGAGAUAAGUGCUGAAAGCAUCUAAGCACGAAACUUGCCCCGAGAUGAGUUCUCCCUGACCCUUUAAGGGUCCUGAAGGAACGUUGAAGACGACGACGUUGAUAGGCCGGGUGUGUAAGCGCAGCGAUGCGUUGAGCUAACCGGUACUAAUGAACCGUGAGGCUUAACCUUACAACGCCGAAG
rnacentral:rRNA from 1 species